UACGAAGGACCCGAGCGUUUAUCCGGAUUUAUUGGGUUUAAAGGGUGCGUAGGCGGAUUAUUAAGUCAGUGGUGAAAGCCUUCAGCUUAACUGAAGAAUUGCCAUUGAUACUGAUGAUCUUGAGUAUGAUUGAGGUGGGCGGAAUGUGUCAUGUAGCGGUGAAAUGCUUAGAUAUGACACAGAACACCGAUUGCGAAGGCAGCUCACUAAGUCAUAACUGACGCUGAUGCACGAAAGCGUGGGGAGCAAACAGG
rnacentral:rRNA from 1 species